GUUAAACUCCCUCUCCCUCUCCCUCUCCCUCUCUCUCUCUCUCGUUUCUCUCAUUUGCCAUCUCCUCUCGUGGAAGAACCAAAUUGUGGAUCUCAGAUUCUUUAGCUCUGAGCCAAAAAAAUUCACUCACCACGAAUGGCUACCGAUCUAUGUUUUCCAGUCCUUCAAUUCCAGUGAUUCAAAAUUUAGUUGUAUGUGUGGGUGUAAAUUCGAUUUAGGGAUUUGAGGAGGAGUUGUUGGAGAAGGAGGUGACGAAGGCGGCGGAGUCGCUAUCGUCUCGCACGCUUAACCCCACGAACCCAACACACCCAUUUCUCCAGAACGCACUCAACUCCUCCGUCGUAGAUUCCAAGACCAGUGUGUCGUUUCUGUAGGUCCUGGCAGGGACUCGGCGAUUUCUGGGAUUUGGGUUGAUCCCUCUCUUAUGGCAGUCCCUCAUUCUUAAGGAAAAGGAUGUUCAGUGCUCCAAAAAGAAAAGAUAUAUCCAUGACCCAACAGUAAUAUAUGAGAUAUCAGCAAAACAAGGAAAUACAGUCCUGAUUCCUGAACCAUGUCCUUCCAGCUUCACAAUUGACAAGAACAAGUGCGUGCCACUUUCAAUGGAGAACCAGAAGAAUAAUAAGGUGGGGUAUUUACUGAUCGAACACCUGUUCAUGGACAAUCAGCAUAUCCCUCUGGUUCUCCAUCAAAAGCGUAUGCAUUUCUCCUUAUCAGAGACUCUCUGCUAAUGUUCCUGUUCAACUUCAUGAGAGGUUUCAAGGUGAGAGUAUCACUAGGUCCUCAGUUAUAGAGAAACCUGGAGACCAUGGAGAAGCACACUUAGUAGGUCUGGGUGGAACUAGAAUUCCGUAAACCAUUUCUAAUAUUAAGUUAUGCUGGAGGUUGAAUGAUCUGAUAGCGGCAGGGGACAUUAAGCAUUGGAAAUAUUUGCCAAUGGUAACGUUUGAGAGCAAAAUUUUGGAAUAUCUAGGUCGAAAAUGCAUCAGCCAUGAAGACCGUCGAUUGAGUUUUGAUUGGGAUUCUGGAAGCACACACGUCUAUCAUUGUUACGUCAACAUGGAUGGGAGUUACAGAUUCAAGCCAGCCAGAACUGUUGAUUUUGGCACCUGUGAUCAAUCGGUUCCAGAGGCAUAUCCAGAUAAGGAUGAGGAGACAAAUGGCUACUUGGCACAAUAUUCAUCAACUGGUUUUACUGAUAUGGGGAACACAACUGAUGAAGGAAACUCUUAAGGAAAGCAGAGGAGAUCUUUGGGACAGAUAACAAAGAACUGUAUUUAUAAUUUCAAGGAUUGCUUAGCCGCAACAUACGUACACCAGUGUCCCCCACACAGUUGCUUAUAACAUUUAUAAUAAUCAGUUCUUAUUUUGGCAAGGACAAAUCAUUGGAGCUCAAUCUAUUCAAGGUUGAUAGAACAUACCUAAUGAGAAAAUUAGCAUUGUAGUAACGUUACUUUUUUAAUUUCAUUUUGCAGUUGAUUCUCCUUAGAUCGGAUCUUAAUUUGUAUACAUAUUGUAUUAGUGUAUUUUGGUGACUAUAUUCAUUUUGGCACUUUUAAGAA